AAAAAGGGUUUGUGUGUGGAGUGUCUGCGCCAUGGCUGGAACCUCGUGGGGUAGAGGAUGAUGCAUAAAACAGACAAGCUGAGAGCGUCUUUUGGCACCAUACCAGUGAACACAAUAUCUUCCCACUACUUAUUCAACAGCUGUGAUUCUGAUUGUUUUGCUACCAGAGUACAAAUACCUGGAAAACUCAGACGUCCUUUUUGGUCAGCCUAUGGUAAAUGAUGAUUUUUAAUUGAAAGCAUUAAUAUGUGAAUUUUGCAUGUGAAUUUGGACAAAUCUCUCCCAUACCCUUGACCUAUGAAUGACAGUAAAGCAUUGCACGGACACUGUUGGUAAACGGGCAUUCAUAUUCCUAAAUCAGGAAAUGCAGGACCUGAGAGGAAGGGGCAUUUCCAAGCAAAGGCAUAUCUUUCUCAAUACUGUCUUACAUGAACUGUAAAAGGCAACAGCUUUCCUCCGUUGCCACAUGCCUUCCCCAAACCUCCUUUGUUUGUAUCUAUAACAGAUUAAAUGCUCUGUCUGUUGUAUGCAAGAUGUGUGCUUUGUUGUAAGAUCAGCACGUAAAAGUAGCCCCGACAACCUUGCUGUCUCUACCCACCUGGCAAGACUGCUGUGCUGGCCAGGUUUGUAUUUACAUGGAACACCUUCCAGCGGGUAUGAGUCUGACAGGACACCAGUGCCAUCUGUACAGCCGCUCACAGGCCCAGUGCUUCCUUCUGCCUGCUGCAUGCAGCAGUUCUCUCUAGAAUCUGAAAAACUCCAGGUAAGGACGCAUUUUGAUGGCUUAUGUGAAAUACAAGGGGAUACUAGUACUGUUUUUUCACAUUUUGGUGAAAGGAAAAAGUUCAGUUCAAAUGGUUCUGACUGCUGCAAGAUUUUUACUGACGCAACUCAACAUGGCAGACCUGCCUGCUACAUUCACUCACCCCCGUCUCUCCUCUCCAGAUUUUGACAGUAUAAGCCCCCAGCUUUCCUUAUCACCACCCAUAUCACAUCAGCUUCUAAGCCAGGUGAUCUUCACUCCUCAUAUCCUCCCUUUAUAAAAAAUGGAUUUUGGUUCCAGAGAAACAAACACACAAAACAACAAAACCUUCAACCCCCCCUAAAUCUGGGGUAUUCACCCCAGGCAAAAGGAAUCACCCUUGAAUGGCAGGAGGGCUGUGGCACUGAGUCCUGAGUAGGAGUCAGUCUCAGUCAGGUAAAGAAAAUAUAUGCAUGUAACAUUGACACAAACUGUCCCAUAAGCAGCAGGAGGUGAUGGAAGGAUGUAGGAGCGUCAGGAGCAGACCUGACUCAAUUACUGGAUUUUUCCUCAGACUCCUUUUGUUCUUUUGGCCAACUCACCAAGAGAAAGAAGUACUCAUCUCCCUGACUUUUGCCACUUCAGUUGUGGUAUUCAGCCAGUCAUCUCCUAUACACAAUGAAGAGUUACGUAGAUCUGGAUGAUGAUCUACCCUAUCCAGAAAUAAAUGUGGUAAACCAACUCGUGGAGAUCUCUCG
rnacentral:lncRNA from 1 species